rnacentral:rRNA from 1 species
UACAGAGGAUGCAAGCGUUAUCCGGAAUGAUUGGGCGUAAAGCGUCUGUGAGGUGGCUUUUUAAGUCCGCCGUCAAAUCCCAGGGCUUCAACUCUGGACAGGCGGUGGAAACUACCAAGCUUGAGUACGGGUAAGGGGCAGAGGGAAUUUCCGGUGGAGCGGUGAAAGUGCGUAGAGAGUACGAAAGAACACCAACGGCGAAAGGCACUCUGCGUGGGACCGACACUGACACUGGAGAGACGAAAGCUAGGGGAGCGAAUGGG